CAGCUUCCUACAUUGUACCUGGUGAAAGACAAGUACCUCAAUGGGAUUCAUAAUAGCCAUCACAUUCAGUGGGAAGCUGUCUGGAAUUAGCAACUACAGUCUCCAGAAGAACCGAAACUCUCCAGACAUGCAGCAUAGAACUGAAAGAGGUUCGAUCAAAAACUGCACCUGUACAUGAGGGCAAGUGGAGGAACUGAGAAGUCAAGUGACCAAAAGGGAUUUUUUCCAACUGCCCUAUGCCUACCUCCAAUGGGCCCCUGAACCCACCGUACCAAUGACAGAGAUCUGGGACUCAAAGAUGAGAAGUUGGAUACAGCCCAUUUCAUCAUAAAUUUAUCCAGCCACUACGGAGUUUAUCAGGACAGCCAACCUUAAGCAACUUCCAUAAGCCUUUUCAGAAGAUUGAGGUUACAACUAGAGGAUCAUCUAUACUGGAUUUUUUCCUGAUCAAUAGGGAAGGCUUGGUGGAGGAUGUGAAGUAAUGAGAAGGAAGCAAUCAUGAUAUGAUAGAAUUCCAGAACCUGAGAUGGGCACCAGAACCAGGGUGCUAGAUUUCAAAAAGGUGAUUCAAGACGGUGGAUUUCAACUGAUUAAUAGGCUUGGUGCCACAGGAAGACAGACUGAAGAAUAAAGGUGCCCAAGAGGGCUGGAAGCUUCUAAAGGACACAGUAUUGGAAGCCCAACAAGAAACUGUUUUGACACAGUGGAAGCACAAGAAAAAUCUUAAGAGAUCAGUGUGGCUGCACAAGGAGGUUCUAGGAUGUUUCAAAUGCAAAAGGAAAGCAUACAGGCAAUGGAAAAUUAGGCAGGGGACUGAGGAAGCAUUCUAAGAAAUAGCAAGAACCUGCAGGGACAAAAUUAGGAAUGCAAAGUUAAAAAAAAAAAAUCAGCUGCACCUGACCAGGGAAAUUAAAGAUGACAAAAAGAGUCUCCAUAAGUAUCAUGGCCAGAAAAGACCAAGGAAGCUGUGGAUCCACAGUUAAAUAGCCAAGGAACUCUUAACAGGAGAUGCAAAGAAGGCGGAGCUACCCAACAGCUACUUUGCCUCAGUCUUCACAAAAAACUGAGCUGGAAUUAGACACAAAAAAGAUUAUUUGGAUAAGGAAAGGGACAAGCUGAAGGAUGAGAUAAUAAAGAAGA